UUUCUCCUGUUGAAAAAUUGGAAUUCCUAUUUUUAUUUUUUAUUUCUUGCAGUGUGUAUCUGCUGAUGAAGACAACUAGCUGAGGAGCACCUUCUUAAGAUCCUAGCUAGCCAUCCAUCAGUCAGGUCCCACCAUGAACAUUCCGUGGUUCCAAUGCAGGUGCCAAUGCUUGGGUAUUGCGUCAUUUUGAAUGAAAUUCUCACCAAAUGCUUUAGUUAAUCAGUUCUAUCAUGACUAAAAUUCAAUCCUCAUCAUCAAUCAAAAUGAACUAUUCUUGGGAUCUAAAUGUAUUUUUCAGUCUCUCUAUCUACAACUAAAAAUCAGGCUAAUCAAAAUGUAAUGCUUUUGUCAUGAUUGAUUGGUAAAAGUUUUGUGAGUAGGUGCCUGCCUGACAUCAAUCUUGAUACAAUCUUUGGACCAUGUGGUGCAUUGCUACCAGGCAGGGUUGAAUAAAAUAUCUAAAUACCAGGCAUCUUUUUUCAACUAGAUCACCUUUUUUUCAGAAAAUACCUAUGGUGUUGUUGCUUAUAUCUUAGUUAUCAUCUCUCAGAAAAUACAUGUAGCAAAACCUGACCGGUCACAUGCUGGGCGCUACCAAAGAUCAUGUAUUCCAUAGAAACCAAUGAAUGGAUAAUCCUUGCAAAUGAUUGGAAGACUCCUUCAGGGCGGCAAUAAUCCAGACAAUCCGUUGCUUGCUGGGUUCAGCCCUAUCAGACGCACAUUCACUUAUGCUGCCCACAUAUCUAUGCUUGGCCCUGGGGGGUAACAGUGGUGGUUGCACCGAUGAGAACACAAGCUGUGAGAGGUGGGCCGCUCUCGGAGAGUGCACGAAAAACCCAGAGUAUAUGGUGGGAUCUGCAGAGGUUCUUGGUGCCUGUAGGAGAAGCUGCAAGGUGUGUUAGCUGACUGUUUUGGUCAUGGGAGCAGUUGUU